rnacentral:rRNA from 1 species
CGAAUUCGCCCUUGUGCCAGCAGCCGCGGUAAUACGUAGGGUGCGAGCGUUGUCCGGAAUUACUGGGCGUAGAAGAGCUCGUAGGUGGUGUGUCGCGGUUGUUCGUGAAAACUCACAGCUUAACUGUGGGCGUGCGGGCGAUACGGGCAGACUAGAGUACUGCAGGGGAGACUGGAAUUCCUGGUGUAGCGGUGGAAUGCGCAGAUAUCAGGAGGAACACCGGUGGCGAAGGCGGGUCUCUGGGCAGUAACUGACGCUGAGGAGCGAAAGCGUGGGGAGCGAACAGGAUUAGAUACCCUGGUAGUCCACGCCGUAAACGGUGGGUACUAGGUGUGGGUUCCUUCCUUGGGAUCCGUGCCGUAGCUAACGCAUUAAGUACCCCGCCUGGGGAGUACGGCCGCAAGGCUAAAACUCAAAGGAAUUGACGGGGGCCCGCACAAGCGGCGGAGCAUGUGGAUUAAUUCGAUGCAACGCGAAGAACCUUACCUGGGUUUGACAUGCACAGGACGCCGGCAGAGAUGUCGGUUCCCUUGUGGCCUGU